AUUGUUCUCAUCAUCAAAAAUAUUUCCAUUUUUCUUUCUUUUAGCAUGAAGGCCCCCGGUCAAAGUGGUCAAAAUCUAGUCAAACUGGAUUGGGCUGAUGAUGUUGAGCAGAAUUAAAAGUCCAGUGUUGUUUUUAUCUGGAGUGCACCAUUGUCCUGGAAUGGGUUCAAGCCUUUUUGGGUUGGUUUACAGAAACGCAGCGUUUACACUGCUGUGAUGAGAAGCAAAGAGGGUAAAGGUAGAAAGCUCGAUCAAUUGAAGGAUUUUUCCCCAAUUACCUCACCCCUCGAGCUAGGGUUCAUCAAAUGCAAAGAAGAAAUGCUACAGCGAAGGCAAGAUGCAAUUUUCACAACUCAAAGGACGCUGGCCCAAAAGAUUGAUCGGUCAGAAGAGUGAUCAGAGGCAUGAGCGGAGCUGGAACGGGCUGAGAAGAGCGAAGUGGUUUGUGAUUAGAAAGGUAGUUGGAAAAGCGAUUCGAGAAGCUUCUAAGUUCGUUACCGGUUCUUUCCCCUUUCCCCAUUUUUUUCCUCUUUUAUGUUCUUAAUUUCUCCUAUAAAGAGGAGUCUUGUAAUGUAGUAGAACACAAUAGGCAAUGGUGGGUGACAAACAUCACUUUAGGGCUUAGAUUUCGAUUCUUAGUUCUUAGUUUGAGAUUUCAAAGCUUUCAUAAAGGUAAAAACUUUGCUUUUUACACUUGAGUUCAUGGAGAUUAUCAUUUGGGUGACAGACUUUGGAUUCUCUGGACUCUGUGUUGCAGGUGGGAUACAUCUCAAGCCCAAAAUAAUCAAAAUUGAAUGAGGCAAGCUGGCCUGACCAAGGGAUAACCUAAAUGCUGAACCAAGCUGCUGGACAGAAGUUACACAGAAGCCUAAAAUGCAAAGUUGAAUCCAAAUGGGAGGGUUAACUGUUUUGAACUCUCGAAGCUGUGAAGCAGAAGGACCAGGGGUUAGGUCGAGGGCUCUCUUGUUUUCUCUCUUGUAAAAUAGGUUUUUAGAGUCUUAAAAAAAGAGAAACGUUGUAGAAUGUUUCAGAGUUUUAGUCAGUCUUCGGAGAUUUUCGAAAUACACUGUUUCUAGCAGGUUUUGUAGAGAGUUCCAUCGUGAGGCAGAGUGCAUUUUUCCAGCCCUUAUGAGUGCAAAGUAACCUCAAGGGAAGGGGUUUUCUAUUCUACGGGUCAGGUUUAGCUUGGGUUCUUGUGAGGUCAAAGUAACCUCAAAAAUCAGAGUGCCACCCACUGUAAUUUCUUCUGAAUCCAAUACAAAAUUGGCAUUCUUUUCUUAAUUCAAA